GAUUGACAUGUCGGACACCGCGAACACUGGGUACUGGCUCUGUCAGACAAAGGCCAGGACAUUGCACCCUGUGAGUGGUACCAGAGAGUCUACAAGAGCCUGUUCCCCUUGAGCUGGGUGGCAAAAUGGGAUGAUCAGAUUGAAGCUGGAAGUUUCCCCGGGAAAAUCUAAAUGGACACAUUCAUGACCUCUUCCAAUGUCUCUGCCAAGCAUUUGGAUGUUUCUGUAGAAAUGACUAAUAUUUAAUGUUAUGAUGAUAUUUGGUAAUGUUGACUUUGGUGGUUUAGUGUUGGACAGUCCCAUUAAAUUAAUCCACGAGACCGGAUAGGUCGAUAUAUUAAAAAGGUACAAGAGAAAUUUGUAAAAUAGUUGCUGACAUUCACAAAAGAGCUAAGACUGGUAACAGAAAUAUAGUUCUCAUUUGAUAUAUUUCAUGAAUAUAUAUAUACACACUACCAGUCAAAAGUUUGGUCACACCUACUCAU